rnacentral:lncRNA from 1 species
GACUAGAUGGCAUCUGGUAUUGUUUAAUCAGCUGUGGGUCCUAUUCACAUUGUCUUGCAUAUAGUACACACAGCAGAAGGAUGUAUUUCAUGAAAAUGGAUGAUAUACCAUGAGGAACUUCAGGGAAAAGUAAUUCAGUUUCCUUUAUGGCAUAGAAAAGCCCGCUAGAAUUUUAAAUAAUCUUUACAUACCCACUUAUAAAGGUAUGAAGCUAUUUUCCUUUUUUUUUUUAAUACUUUUGAAGC